rnacentral:rRNA from 1 species
UAGUCCACGCCGUAAACGAUGUCUACUAGUUGUUGGGACCCUUGAGGUCUUAGUGACGCGGCUAACGCAUUAAGUAGACCGCCUGGGGAGUACGGUCGCAAGAUUGAAACUCAAAGGAAUUGACGGGGGCCCGCACAAGCGGUGGAGCAUGUGGUUUAAUUCGAUGAUACGCGAGGAACCUUACCAGGGCUUAAAUGUGGUCUGACAGCUUUAGAGAUAGAGUUUUCUUCGGACAGAUCACAAGGUGCUGCAUGGUUGUCGUCAGCUCGUGCCGUGAGGUGUCAGGUUAAGUCCUAUAACGAGCGCAACCCCUAUCGUUAGUUGCUAACAAGUAAUGUUGAGGACUCUAGCGAGACUGCCGGUGUAAACCGCGAGGAAGGUGGGGAUGACGUCAAAUCAUCACGGCCCUUACGUCCUGGGCUACACACGUGCUACAAUGGUAUGGACAAUGAGCAGCCACUAUGCGAAUAGGAGCGAAUCUAUAAACCAUAUCACAGUUCGGAUC